ensembl:misc_RNA Metazoa_SRP Metazoan signal recognition particle RNA
GCCAGGUGUGGUGGUGCACACCUGUAAUCCCAGCUACUUGGGAGGCUGAGGCAGGAGAAUUGCUUGAACCCGGGAGGUGGAGGUUGCAGUGAGCUGAGAUCGUGCCACUGCAUUCCAGCCUGGGUGACAGAGUGAGACUCUGACUCAA